rnacentral:lncRNA from 1 species
UCUCUUGGAGCUCUAGAUCACCUCUCUAGUUUUAUUCUCAUCUGAUUAAUCUAGUUCUUGCCAGUUCUUCUUGAACUUCUUGUUAGAUCUCGAGUCUGUAUUUCUGUGUCCGUGACAUGCAUAUUUUAGAAAUGAGUUAUAAUUUUGUAUUUUGGUAAAACUAAAAAUAUCUAUAUCAUUAUACAUAUUUUUAUUUUUUUAGUUUAUAAAAAUAAUUUGAUACAAUAACAACUUCUAAAGUUCUCAUCUUAAUUGCAUUGAGAAUAAGAAAAUUAAAAUAACUUGAAAAUAUAAAAAAAUCA